ACGGGAAGCGCAGCCUCGCCGGGGCCCGGCCGGCGGCGGGGAGGUCGCGGGGCCGGGAGGCGCGAGGUUGUUCGAGAAGCUGAAAUAGAAAUCAAUUUCUUGAUUUCAGUAGGAAUAGUGAGUCCCUGAGAGGGGAGAAGCCAGGCCCUCAUUAGUUUAUGUUUGGAUUUCCGUACCAAUGGUUCACUGAUGCACCUGGUUCCAUUCUCUUCAGUGCCAGUUCAUUCUGCAUCACACUAUGAGCCUCCUGCUUGGUCCUUUCCCCAGGUGGGAAUUGAGAAAAGGUUCUCCUCUUCUAGUUGGUCCCACAGGGACUCAGUGGGGUAUGAGGUCCUGGAUGCGUUUAUCCCCUGGUCACACUGCAGAAGGUGCUGAGCCAGGUGUUCUACAUAAAUUAUCUCAUUUGUUUUUUCUGACAACAUAAUAAGAAAAAGAAAAACAUCCAUUCAUGAGAGUCCAGGGAUACAUGAAAAUGAAGCAAAUGAGGAAAGACCCAUUCACAUUCCUCCAAAAGAUCUGCGGCUCCAUGGAAUCAUGUUACUGGCUCCUGGUAGUCCCUGACUUUACCUGUUUGUUCCAGGAACUUGCUUUAUGGCCAUUUGUUCUGAUGAUCAGUUUGGACAACCAACCUUUAUUCCUCCACCUCAGACAAUAUUCAACAUCCUGUAAUCAUCAUAGCGGAGAUUUUCAGCAAAGAGAAGAAAAAUGGUGGAAUUGCAGCAAGUAAAUAUUCUUGGUGGACGAGGAAGAUCAGCCAGAAUCUUCAGGUAUAAAACACAGGGAACCAGAUAUCAGCUCAAGGAAGGAAGAUUUUUCUUAAAAUUUACAGUGGCCCAAAUUUGGACCAUCAGUAAUAACUACGUGUUCUCAAUGUACGUAGUGGACUGAGGUCAAAGCAGAACCACCACCACAGCCUGAAGAGUCCUUUAAAAAGAAACUACCAUCAGAGUGAACAGGCAACCUACAAAAUGGGAGAAAAUUUUCACAACCUACUCAUCUGACAAAGAGCUAAUAUCCAGAAUCUACAAUGAACUCCAACAAAUUUACAAGAAAAAAAAAACAACCCCAUCAAAAAGUGGGCGAAGGACAUGAACAGACACUUCUCAAAAGAAGACAUUUAUGCAGCCAAAAAACACAUGAAAAAAUGCUCACCAUCACUGGCCAUCAGAGAAAUGCAAAUCAAAACCACAAUGAGAUACCAUCU